CUCAAGACACAUUUCUCCACGCAAACUCUCAUCAACAAGUAUCAAGUUACCCUAGCAAGUAGAUAUUAUAGCCUUUUUUUGGUUUUUCGUAUAAAGAUGGUGAUACAGGAUUGAAAAAGAGCUUAAUCGACAUUUUGACUUGUUUAGACAUGAGGCGGGAACAUCAGGCUCACCCCACGCGAAGCAAGGCAUGAAUGUAAAUAUUGUGAGUUAAUCAUUCCACUUACACUCUCUGGCUAGUUAGCUGACAAACAAGCACACUGUAUCUACAUAUUCACCUGGCUAAUUGAUAGUUUGAGGAGGACUGAAAUUACCUGGUACAACAGCAAAACGAACUAAACGGAAACAUCUGCUAAUUACUUUAACUAUUGCAAAUGCUCAGGCAGCUGCCAUUUCCUGUUAGGAAAGAUAAAAUGGCCCAGUAUUUACCAGAAAAGGAAGCUCCACACAGCCAACGGGGUAAGAAAUAAUUGAAACAUCACAGAUAUAAAUUCCCACUCUGUGUCCAUGAUAAAAUGCAGUUAUACCACUGAAUGAAACUGUGAAGAGAUGCACUCAGACCAGUUCUUUGUGAUUGAACUCAGACCAGUUCUUUGUGAGAUUGAACUCAGACCAGUUCUUUGUGAGAUUGAACUCAGACCAGUUCUUUGUGAGAUUGAACUCAGACCAGUUCUUUGUGAGAUUGAACUCAGACCAGGUCUUUGUGAGAUUGAACUCAGACCAGGUCUUUGUGAGAUUGAACUCAGACCAGUUCUUUGUGAGAUUGAACUCAGACCAGGUCUUUGUGAUUGAACUCAGUCUUUGGCAGACAAAUUACCUAGCUACCUACCUUAGUAUUUUCACAUUACUAUACUUUUUUUAAUUACCCUCUGGCCUUUGUAUUGAACUAGCUAACAUUAGGUCUCUCCGUCGAUCAGAAGCAAGCAUGUUUCUGUGCUAUGUACCGGAUUUUAACCACUACUCCGAUAAGUACACAUUUGUAUUUUAUAAUUUGUGUAACUUUUUAAUGUGGUGACAUUAAUGUGGUGACAAUGUGGUGACAUGCAGUCUUUGUGAUUGAACUCAGACCAGUUCUUUGUGAUUGAACUCAGACCAGUCUUUGUGAUUGAACUCAGACCAGUCUUUGUGACUGAACUCAGACCGGUUCUUUGUGACUGAACUCAGACCGGUUCUUUGUGACUGAACUCAGACCGGUUCUUUGUGACUGAACUCAGACCGGUUCUUUGUGACUGAACUCAGACCGGUUCUUUGUGACUGAACUCAGACCGGUUCUUUGUGACUGAACUCAGACCGGUUCUUUGUGACUGAACUCAGACCGGUUCUUUGUGACUGAACUCAGACCGGUUCUUUGUGACUGAACUCAGACCGGUUCUUUGUGACUGAACUCAGACCAGUCUUUGUGACUGAACUCAGACCGGUUCUUUGUGACUGAACUCAGACCGGUUCUUUGUGACUGAACUCAGACCGGUUCUUUGUGACUGAACUCAGACCAGUUCUUUGUGAUUGAACUCAGACCAGUUCUUUGUGAGAGCAGUUGUUCUGGCUCUGGUUCAAGGAGUCAUGCCGUUCUACUGAACCUGCCCCAGAGACGGUUCCUUUCCCACUGAAGAUCCUCCUCUGUGGGCUCUCAGGGACAGAGGGUGGAGGAAGCCAAUCAAGUCGUCAGCCAGGUACAGGUCCUCCUCUGUGGGCUCUCGGGGACAGAGGGUGGAGGAAGCCAACCCAAGUCGUCAGCCAGGUACAGGUCCUCCUCUGUGGGCCCUCGGGGACAGAGGGUGGAGGAAGCCAACCCAAGUCGUCAGCCAGGUACAGGUCCUCCUCUGUGGGCCCUCGGGGACAGAGGGUGGAGGAAGCCAACCCAAGUCGUCAGCCAGGUACAGAUCCUCCUCUGUGGGCCCUCGGGGACAGAGGGUGGAGGAAGCCAACCAAGUCGUCAGCCAGGUACAGGUCCUCCUCUGUGGGCUCUCGGGGACAGAGGGUGAAGGAAGCCAAUCAAGUCAUCAGCCAGGUACAGGUCCUCCUCUGUGGGCUCUCGGGGACAGAGGGUGGAGGAAGCCAACCCAAGUCGUCAGCCAGGUACAGGUCCUCCUCUGUGGGCUCUCGGGGACAGAGGGUGGAGGAAGCCAACCAAGUCGUCAGCCAGGUACAGAUCCUCCUCUGUGGGCCCUCGGGGACAGAGGGUGGAGGAAGCCAACCCAAGUCGUCAGCCAGGUACAGAUCCUCCUCUGUGGGCCCUCGGGGACAGAGGGUGGAGGAAGCCAACCAAGUCGUCAGCCAGGUACAGGUCCUCCUCUGUGGGCUCUCGGGGACAGAGGGUGAAGGAAGCCAAUCAAGUCAUCAGCCAGGUACAGGUCCUCCUCUGUGGGCUCUCGGGGACAGAGGGUGGAGGAAGCCAACCAAGUCGUCAGCCAGGUACAGGUCCUCCACUGACUGCACCUGGUUGGUUGGCUUCCUCCACUCUCAUUCCACAUCUGUACAGACGAUAUUGGGAACCGCCAACAUGGUUCCACUGAUGAGCUCCAUGGAGGCAUUCUCAUGUGGUAGAGAAUCCCCUGGUCACCUAUAGAGACCUGCCAACAGGAAGUGGUCACCUAUAGAGACCUGCCAACAGGAAGUGGUCACCUAUAGAGACCUGCCAACAGGAAGGAUGUUAAGAGCCACAUCCCUUUCAGUGCCUGACUCUGAACCUUGGAAUGGAUUUGUUGUAAGAAAAGUGCUACGUAAGUCAGUAUUGAUUUGAUGGGGGGGAAGGGGUGGAUUUGAUAGAUUUACCUUGAUUUGAUUGGGGAAAGGGGGGAUUUGACAGAUUUGCCUUGAUUUGAUGGGGAAAGGGUGGAUUUGACAGAUUUACCUUGAUUUGAUUGGGGAAAGGGGGGAUGUGACAUUUACCUUGAUUUGAUUGGGGAAAGGAGGGAUAUGACAGAUUUACCUUGAUUUGAUGGGGGGGAAAGGGUGGAUUUGACAGAUUUACCUUGAUUUGAUGGGGAAAGGAGGGAUGUGACAUUUACCUUGAUUUGAUUGGGGAAAGGGGGAUAUGACAGAUUUGUGCCUUGAUUUGAUAGGGGAAAGGAGGGAUGUGACAUUUACCUUGAUUUGAUGGGGGAAAGGAGGGAUAUGACAGAUUUACCUUGAUUUGAUUGGGGAAAGGGGGAUAUGACAGAUUUGUGCCUUGAUUUGAUAGGGGAAAGGAGGGAUAUGACAGAUUUGUACCUUGAUUUGAUUGGGGAAAGGGGGGAUAUGACAGAUUUGUACCUUGAUUUGAUGGGGGGAAAGGGGGGAUAUGACAGAUUUGUACCUUGUCAGCUCGGGGAUUCGAUCCAGCAACCGUCCGGUGACUUGCCCAACGCUCUAACCACUAGGCUACCUGCCGAUUGAUGACAUCCCAGCUGUAGAAUAUAUAAUAAACUGUCAUUUUCACAUGAGGACAAGUGCAGUUUUUCCCAUAAACUUUUAAUUAAUAACUUGGGAUUUUAACCACUUGACAUAUCAACCAUAUAGUGGGAAGGAGCCUAUAGAUCCAGACUGUGUGAGGGCAUGUUCCACUCAGAAUAAAUAAAAACUGUACCUUUUAAAGAUUUGUCUCUUGUCAUGAAAACUAUACUGAGCAGAAUAUAUGUAAAGUGUUGGUCCAAUGUUUCAGAAAUGUUCAAUAUGCACAAAAAAGCGUUUGUUUCUCAAAUGUUGUGCACAAAUUUGUUUACAUCACCUGUUAGUGAGUAUUUCUCCUUUGUCAAGAUAAUCCAUCCAUCUGACAGGUGUGGCAUAUCAAGAAGCUGAUUAAACAGCAUGAUCAUUACACAGGUGCACCUUGUGCCGGGAACAAUAUAAGGGCACUCUAAAAUGUGCAACACAAUGCCACUGAUGUCUCAAGUUUUGAUGGAGCGUGCAAUUGGCAUGUUGACUGCAGGAAUGUCCACCAGAGCUGUUACAUGAGAUUUGAAUGUUCAAUUCUCUACCAUAAGCUGCCUCCAACGUUGUUUUAGAGAAUUUGGCGUUACCUCCAACCGGACUGAAAACAGGCCACGUGUAACCAUGCCAGCCCAGGACCUCCACAUCCGGCCUCUUCACCUGUAGGAUUGUCUGAGACCAGCCACCCGAACAGCUGAUUAAACUAAUUCGGAUUGGUUGAGCCUGGCUCCCCAGUGGGUGGGCCUAUGCCCUCCCAGGCUCACCCAUGGCUGUGCCCCUGCCCAGUCAUGUGAAAUCCAUAGAUUAGGGCCUAAUACAUUUUUUUCAAUUGACUGAUUUCCUUCUAUGAACUGUGACUCAGUAAAAUCUUAGAAAUUGUUGCAUGUUGCGUUGAUAUUUUGGUUCAGUAUACAAUGUCAGUUUUUUUUAUUCAUCCUUGUCAAUGACAACAUUCUAGAACUGAGUUAUCACUCAUCUAAGUCUGGUAUCCGAGGUAACCUGGUUAAUGAUUAUAUAAUUGAUUAAGUGUCUCUUUCCUUGUAGAAUGUUGACCGCUGUAUAGAACACAUUGUGUUGCUAAGAUGCUCAAACAUAAUUUAAUAGCUACAGUCACCUACACAGGAUAAACUAUCCCUCAUGCUGGCCCUGAUUAAACCUGUCACCCCUCACUAUAGCUGCACUUCUCCACAGGACCAGACUUUGAGUGGUCUUCUCCACAUGGCCAGACUUCUAGUGGUCUUCUCCACGUGGCCAGACUGAUAGUGGUCUUCUCCCCUUUCAAUGCUCUUAUGCUCAUCCUUGAAAAAAUCCAUGAUGUCGGAACUAGACGCCAAGUCGACAUACAGUACAAAGAGUUAUCGAGGCUAAGUAAUACAAAUGUUUUGAUCUACUGCUCUGCUAACUAGCUAGCUAAAGUCUAAAACACUUAGACCAUGGAACGGAUGCAUUAAUUUCCCCUUUCAUACAGUUAAAAUGCUAACUAGCUAAAGUAUAGUCUUAGAUUGAACAGUAGUAGACCAGCCAACCUGGAAUUGAAUUUUAUUUUAAUUGUUUUGCUUGGUACAGGCAGUCAUCCAUCCUAGAACAAACAAUCAUUUUAGAUACACAAAGUUAUGCCGGAUAACACGUUACAUUUGGAUUUUUACGGACAUUUUAAAUGGGUCAAAUCUGGUGAAAAUGGGUAAUAAUGGAAAUGGUAAUAGAUUUAGGUCAAAUGUCCUGAAAUUCUCAACUAAACCUGAGUGGGUAAUAAAACACUUAGACUACAGAAUGCAUUAAUUUACCCUUUCACACAGUUAAAAUGCUAACUAGUUAGCUAAAGUCUAAAACACUUAGACUACGGAAUAGAUGCAUUAAUUUACUUUUCAUUAUAGUUAUUAUGCUUUAAAACAUGGAAAUACACAGAAAAUAUGAACAUUGAUGGUUUCAGCUAUAGUUGUGCACCGCUAAGGACCCUUCUCAGAUGACGUUGACCCUCUGAGAAAACUGUGGGAGACCCCACUGAACCAGAAGAACUUUAAAUAGUCUGUUUAUCUCGAUCUGUUCAGUGAAUUUGGUCAGGAUCUGUGACUAUCCUAUUUGGCUGCUCGUACAUUUUACCCCUGUUUAAAAUGACAUUACAGUUUCAAUAUCUCUGUAUCAGAAAGUACGAUUCUUACGAGGUCAAGAUGCACUGUGCAAAAAUCAAUCCGCCAUUUCCUGCUUGCAAAAAUUCUAAUAGUUCUCUUAAUUUCAGUUUGUGACAAAAACAAGAAAGUAAAGUGUAGAGAAUCCAUUGUGCCCACUGGUGUGUAUUCAUGGCUGCAAAGGGAAGCUUGGCUUCCCUCAAAAAAAUGGACAAAGAAAAAUAAAAUAAACGUUCUAUUUUUUUGUUUCAUAAUUUUCCUUUAAUUCGCAAGAGGCUGAAUGUAUCUCACCGGAGAAAGCAUCCGAGAGAGUGAAACAGCCAUCAAUCUGAUGCUGUCUGGUCAGCGAAACAGCGCCCCUCUGUCUCUGUAUGUGUAGGCCGUCUGAUGCUGUCUGGUCAAAAAAGAGUAUGACAUUGUUUGUCGCCCGUAGCACUGAAUGCAAGGGAAGCCAGAGAGCACUUUCCUUCCCUUGAUUAAAAACAGUGUUAAAAUAAUAGUCCACCAUCUUUGAGCAAAACUGGGUGAACUCAACCGUGAAUGGUCCUGGCACACAAAAAAAAAAGAUGUCAAGGGAAGCCAGUUUGGAUUUACAUUUUACAUUUUAGUAGACGCUCUUAUCCAGAGCGACUUACAGUAGAGUGCAUACAUUUUAUUACAUUUUACAUACUGAGACAAGGAUAUCCCUACCGGCCAAACCCUCCCUAACCCGGACGACGCUAUGCCAAUUGUGCGUCGCCCCACGGACCUCCCGGUUGCGGCCGGCUGCGACAGAGCCUGGGCGCGAACCCAGAGACUCUGGUGGCGCAGCUAGCACUGCGAUGCAGUGCCCUAGACCACUGCGCCACCCGGGAGGUCAUUUGGCUUCGCCCCAAUCACAGCACAUCAAAAGCACACCUCAUUUACAGACUUAAAAAAAAAAUGUUGCAUCUCGUUGUUGUUCUCCAGUGGCUAGCUAGUUAGCUAAAAUUUUCACUUUCCUAAAUUAGCCGUGGAUGGAAAUACAUUGACUUGAAGUUGAAAUGGUGCUGGAAUAGUGGGGGCAGCUCCAUUUUUUCCAUUGACUAUACACACAUGUACACAUGGAUUUUGUGUUGUAGAUAUGUGGUAGUAGAGUAGUGGUCUGAGGACACACACUUAGUGUGCUGUAGAUAUGUGGUAGUAGGGGCCUGAGGACACACACUUAGUGUGUUGUGAAAUCUGUUGUUAAUGUAUUGUAAUGUUUUUAAAAUUGUAUAACUCCCUUAAUUUUUUCCUGGACCCCAGGAAGAGUAAGGGGAUCCAUAAUAAAUACAAAUACAAA